CCAGACCCUGGAUCCAUAUCUCCCACUCAAAUCUGAGUGUGUCAUUCCACUCCAUGAGCCUCUUAAUCUGGUAGUGCCAUUGGUUUUGAACCCACCAGAGAUCCACUCUUCCCCUAACACACUAUAGUGUUUUGAACCCACCAGAGAACCACUCUUCCCCUCAAAACACUAUAGUGUUCUGAACCCACCAGAGAUCCACUCUUCCCCUCAAACACUAUAGUGUUCUGAACCCACCAGAGAUCCACUCUUUCCCUCAAAACACUAUAGUGUUCUGAACCCACCAGAGAACCACUCUUCCCCUAACACACUAUAGUGUUCUGAUCCGCUCUUCCCAUCAAAACACUAUAGUGUCCUGAACCCACCAGAGACCCACUCUUUCCCUAACACACUAUAGUGUUCUGAUCCGCUCUUCCCAUCAAAACACUAUAGUGUCCUGAACCCACCAGAGAUCCACUCUUUCCCUCAAAACACUAUAGUGUUCUGAACCCACCAGAGAUCCACUCUUCCCCUAACACACUAUAGUGUUCUGAUCCGCUCUUCCCCUCAAAACACUAUAGUGUCCUGAACCCACCAGAGAUCCACUCUUUCCCUCAAAACACUAUAGUGUUCUGAACCCACCAGAGAUCCACUCUUCCCCUCACUAGUGUUUUUGUUUAGUGUCCCACAGAUAUUGCGUCCCAAAUGAAACCCUAUCAUUUAAGUAGUGCACUACAUCAGGGCCCUGGUUAAAUGUAGUGCUCUAGAAAGGGAAUAGGGUGCUAUGGGCCCUAGUUAAAAGAAGUGCACUAGAUAGGGAAUAGGGUGCUAUAGGCCCUGGUUAAAAGAAGUGCACUAGAUAGGGAAUAGGGUGCUAUAGGCCCUGUUUAAAAGAAGUGCACUAGAUAGGGAAUAGGGUGCUAUAGACCCUGGUUAAAAUUAGUGCAUUACAUAGGGAAUAGGGUGCCAUUUGGGCCACAUAGACCCACCCCAUGCUCAUUUAAAUGACCACAGACAGAGCGGUCUGUUGACCACAGCACUUUAAUCACCACCAGCCAGGCCAAGCUAAGCGAUCACAGAUCUGCUCCAGGCCAAGCUAAGCGAUCACAGAUCUGCGCCAGGCAAAGCUAAGCGAUCACAGAUCUGCUCCAGGCCAAGCUAAGCAAUCACAGAUCUGCGCCAGGCCAAGCUAAGCGAUCACAGAUCUGCUCCAGGCCAAGCUAAGCGAUCACAGAUCUGCGCCAAGCUAAGCAAUCACAGAUCUGCUGCAGGCCAAGCUAAGCGAUCACAGAUCUGCUCCAGGCCAAGCUAAGCGAUCACAGAUCUGUGCCAGGCCAAGCUAAACGAUCACAGGUCAGCGCCAGGCCAAGCUAAGCCCCGUCCUGAUUCAUACUAUACAAAACAGCUCCCCUCAUCCACAAAUCUGCAAUCCCAAUAAUCUGUCCUUUCUCCUGAAGUGUGCACUUGUGCACUCCUUCACAAAUGUAAAAGCAUUGGAUAGGUGGAGGUAUGGACUAGAGGAUAGGUGGAGGCAUGGUCUGGAGGAUAGGUGGAGGCAUGGUCUGGAGGAUAGGUGGAGGCAUGGUCUGGAGGAUAGGUGGAGGCAUGGUCUGGAGGAUAGGUGGAGGUAUGGACUGGAGGAUAGGUGGAGGUAUGGACUAGAGGAUAGGUGGUAUGGACUAGACUAGAGGAUAGGUGGAGGUAUGGACUAGAUGAUAGGUGGAGGUAUGGACUAGAGGAUAGGUGGAGGUAUGGACUAGAGGAUAGGUGGAGGUAUGGACUAGACUAGAGGAUAGGUGGAGGUAUGGACUAGACUAGAGGAUAGGUGGAGGUAUGGACUAGACUAGAGGAUAGGUGGAGGUAUGGACUAGACUAGAGGAUAGGUGGAGGUAUGGACUAGACUAGAGGAUAGGUGGAGGUAUGGACUAGAGGAUAGGUGGAGGUAUGGACUAGAGGAUAGGUGGAGGCAUGGACUAGAGGAUAGGUGGAGGUAUGGACUAGAGGAUAGGCGGAGGUAUGGACUAGAGGAUAGGUGGAGGCAUGGACUAGAGGAUAGGUGGAGGUAUGGACUAGACUAGAGGAUAGGUGGAGGUAUGGACUAGAGGAUAGGUGGAAGUAUGGACUAGACUAGAGGAUAGGUGGAGGCAUGGACUAGACUAGAGGAUAGGUGGAGGCAUGGACUAGACUAGAGGAUAGGUGGAGGUAUGGACUAGACUAGAGGAUAGGUGGAGGUAUGGACUAGACUAGAGGAUAGGUGGAGGCAUGGACUAGACUAGAGGAUAGGUGGAGGUAUGGACUAGACUAGAGCGAGUUCCACCAUGAAUUUGCUUUUUUACCCAAGAAAGGAAGUGAACAAGUGCACACUGAUAAAAAGGACAGAUUGUUGGGCCCCGUGCUGAACUCCCUCCUUAGGUUUCUAUUGGGAAGGGAAGGGAAGGGAAGGGAUAGGAUAGCGGGAGGAGAGGUGUAUCACCGCAGAGUUGGGGGUCAAAGGUCAUUGCACAAUAUUAUAGACUUGCUGUUCUGUAAAAGCCUAAUAUGCAAUGCAUUGUUUAUUAUUAUUAUUAUUAUUAUUACCAUAAUAAAAUAUGAUAAAAUAUAUUAUUUUCGUAUUUUUCCAUUUGUCUGAUGUCAAUCUCUCCCGCUUUGCCAGGGAGCCACCAUUGUUGGAUGAUGUAUAUUAUAUUAUACAUGUGUAAUAAAUAAGUCAUAUUAAUAAUCAUCGUGUUGAGAAAUGAAUCCCAUGUAGUCUUCUUCAUCAUGUUGGUCUGAUAAUAUUACGUGGAUGACGACACCUAAUAAAACACGUGUUGCUGUUCAGCGUGUUGUGU
ensembl:lncRNA